UAUGGCCAAAUCAAAUUGAUACACCAGUUCUCAUAUGACCACUGAAGUUAAGCAAUGUCAAGUCUGGUCAGUACCUAGGUGGGUGACCACUUGGGAAUACCAGGUGCUGUAAG